GAGUUCCGGCAGAAAGCGAGGUGAGAAGCGCAGGGCGGCGGUCUGUCCCGGGCCCUCCAGGCCCUCCGGCCUGAGGCCGGGGGUGAACUGGGGGGCCCAAGGAGAGGUCAGGAGCUCGGACCUGCAGACACCCGGCGCCCUCGCCGCAGCUGCCCACCGGCCAGGCCCACACUUUGCAGCAGUUGUGAGCCUCUCCCCACCCCCACCCCCACGCCGGCGCCCAUGGCUGCGGCCUCUCGGAGCCGGGCCUCGCCGGCUGCCCACUCUCCUGGCCCAGCUCUGCGGAGCCUACGCGAAGCCCCCGCCCAGCCAGCCGGGCCGCGGAGCCUUUGGAUGUCGGGUGUGGCGGGGUGAGAAGAAUGGCGGCCGCUCAAACGCCGGCCCGGCCCUUGGGGCCUCCGAGGGCCUGAGAAGGCGGGUCUCCGCGGACGUAAGCUCGGCCGCCCUCGGGCUUUGGCGCCCCACAGACCCGGGCCCCGGGAUGACCACUCCGCCCCAGGUGGACGAAACCUCACCUACGGCGAACAGUGGACAGAGGCCCUAACGGCCGGAAGGUGAGCGAAGCUCCCCCCAGCCCCCCCGCCCCCCGCCCCGGUCGGCGACGGGUGGAACAGUUAAUGGGCCAAAGGCGGUUGGUCUUCGUUCUACAGACAUUGCUGUCGGAAGAUCGAAAUGGGAGAAUUACGAACCGCGUUUGGCCAAUAGGAAGACCACCCUUUGGGAAGAUUUACUGGCCGUUUAUAGAAGGCCUGUGUAUAUAAUAUGAAAAAGCUGCUCUCAACUUACCCCCCAACCUUUUCAAAAGAAAACUUUUGCCACAUCUAGGCCUUCUAGAUGUAAAGAGGUUGCCGACAUAUGAUAAAGUAGAGUUAGAAAAUCAUACGUCUUGUAAAUGCCUGUUUGGUUUUUUGUGUUUUUUUUUUGUUUGUUUUUGUUUUUAAAUCAUAGAAAUGUCUUUUGGAAAUGACUUUUUGAAAUGGAAUUGUUAGAUCACUUCUAGAAGCGACAUCAGGAGCGACACGUUCACGUUUGUGCAGUGGGUAAGAGGACAUGAAGUAGACGACCUUGAGGAGGAAGAAAAGAAGGUUCUGUGCCAGACUGGUCAUACUUAGAAGACAUUUUCACAUUAUAACCAUUGUUUUGUGUGUGCAUUUUAUUCCUCAACUACUGUGUAUAUAGUUGACAAUGCUAAGUACCUUUGUCAAAUAUCUAGUCUUUCUAGAUGUUCUGAAGUGCCUGAUACAUGUUAAAAAUAGAGGUAGUAAAAAUACAUUUUGUAAAUAUCUUCGUUGACAUUCAUAGGAAAUGCUGUUUAAUUUGCGGGGAAUGGCCAAACCACCACUUUGAAUAGUAUGCAUUGUGUUUGUGCACUGGUUCAAAGGAAGAGGGAGGAGAAGGAAGUGCAAAGAGCUUUGCCGGUGUGUUUAUGGAGAGGGAAGAUUAACCAUUGUCCUUUAUGUUCCUGCAUUUUGUUUUACUUAGCUGUGUAUAUAGUGUAUAUACUGGACAAAUGAGUCCUAAUUUUCAACAUCUAGUCUUUUCUAGAUGUUAAAGAGGUUGCCAGUGUAUGACAAAAAUAGUAAACUAAUAUGUUUUGUACAUUUUGUGUUAAAAUUCUUAGGAAGAUUGUCUUCUGAAAAUUGGAGCAUUAUAGCCCACUGGGCUGGUGGAGAAAGAAGCGAAGAGUUAGUCUUAGGCUAGAAUGUUCUUAUUUUGAAGACACUUUCAGAUUAUAACUGUUACACGUGUGCAGUUUAUUCAAGACUGCUAUGUAUAUAGUGGACACAUUAAGUCCUUAUUUAAAACAUCUAGUCUGUCUAGAUGUUUAGAAGUGCCCAACGUAUGUUAAAUGUAGAGGUAGUAAAAUAUCACUCUGUAAAUAUCUUUUUGCUAAAAUUCAUAGGAAAUAACUCUUGGGAGUGGAAUUGUUAAACCACCUCUGAGCAAUAUAGGCUAUCAUGUAUAUUCAGUGGUUUGGAGGAGGUGGAAGGGAAAGAAUUGGAAAAGGUAAUAUGCUUGUGUGUUCAUACUUGGACAUUUUCAGAUAAAACCAUUUUUUUGUAUGGUCUGUGCAUUUUAUUUUGCUGUGUAUAUAGUGUAUAUAAUGGACAAAUGAGUCCUAGUUUUGCAACAUCUAGUCUCUAGAUGUUAAAGAGGUUGCCAAUGUAUGACAAAGUAGUUAAAUUAGCACAUUCUGUACACAUUGUGUUGAAAUUCAAAGGAAAGCUUUUUUUCUGUAAAUAACUUUUGGAUAUGAAUUUGUUCAACCACCUUUAAGCAUUACACAUGUCUGUACCUGUCUACUGGAUUAGUGGGGGAGAGAAGGAAGUGAGGGAGGGAAUAGUUUAGGCCAAAAUGGUGGUCAUAUUUAGAAAAUACCUCAGAUUAUACCUGUUGUUAGGUGUGUGCAAUUCUAUUUAACAGUGCUAUGUACAUAGUGGACAAGUUAGUUCUUAUGUGAAAUAUCUAGUCUUUCUAGAUACUUAGAAAUGCUUGAUGUAUUUAGAAGUAGAGUAACGCUUCUUGUAAAUAGCUUUUAAAGACUGAUGGGAAAUAUUAUCUAUGGAAAUAGAAUUGCUAAAACCACCUCUCUGAACAGUAUACUUGUUCAGUGGUUUGAGGGAGGUGGGAGGGAAGAAAUUGCAAAAGAUUUUUUGCUAGUGUGUGCUAGGAAAUUUCAGCUUAUCCAUUGCGAUAUAUGUUAUGUGCAUUCAACUCGACUGUAUAUAUUGUAUAUAUACUGGACAAAUAGGUCCUAAUUUUAUAAUAUCUAGUCUCUAGAUAUUAAAGAGGUUGCCAAUGUAUGACAAAAGUAGAGUUAGUAAACUAACACAUUUUGUACACUUUGUGUUAAAAUUCAUUGAAAGGCUGUCUUCUGAAAAGGACUUUGAGAGAGAACAUUGUAGUCACAUCUCAGUGACAUGUGCCUGUCUACUCACCCUCUGGGUUGGCAGUGGAGAGAAGGGAGAAAUGAAGGGUUCUAGACUAGAAUGUUCCUAUGCAGAAGACACUUUCAGAUAUAACCCAUUGUUACAUGUGUGUAGUUUAUUCAACACUACUGUGUAUAUAGUGGACAAACUUAAGUCCUUAUUUGAAACAUCUAGCCUUUCUAGAUGUUUAGAAGUGCACAAAGUAUGUUAAAAGUAGAGGUAGUAAAAUAACACAUCUUGUAGAUAAUCCUUUUGUUAAAAUUCAUAUGAAAUACUAUCUUUUGAAAAUGGUAUGAUCAAAGUGAUCAAACCACCUCUCAGAGCAGCACACAUUAUAUAUCUGUGCUGGUUCAGGGAGAAAGGAGAAGAAAGUGCAAAGGGCUUUACACCAGUAUGUUUAUAGUUAGGUGGGAUUAACCAUUGUCCUGUAGGUCUGCAUUUUGUUGUACUUAGCUAUGUAUAUAGUGUAUAUAAAGGACAAAUGAGUCCUAAUUUACAACAUCUAGUCUUUCUAGAUGUUAAAGAGGUUGCCAGUGUAUGACAAAAGUAGUAAACAAAUACAUAGUGUACACUUUGUGUUUAAAUUCAUAGGAAAGACUAUUCUGAAAACUAGAAGUGAAAUUGUUAAAUCCCCUCUAAGUAUUACAGAUGCUUAUACUUUUCACUAGGUUGAUAUAGAUGAGAAGAGGAAGGGUUAGGCCAGAAUGUUUUUUCAGUGCUACUAUGUAUGUAGUGGGCAAAUUUUAAAUACUUAACUUGAAACAUCUAGUAUUCUGGAUGUUUGAAAGUGAACAACAUGUUAGGAGUAGAGAGUUAAAGUAACAACACCCUUUAAGUAUUAAUUUACAGGAAUGGUUGUUACUUUGGGAAUGGAAUUGUUAAACCUGAUGUCUUGGAGAAUAUGCUGACUGUUCACUGGGGGACAGGGGCAGGGAAGAAGUGAGAAGAGAAGGGUUCUGUGCCCUUGAGUCUUUAGACUAAAAUUCUGUUUAAAAGUAGAGGUAGUAAAAUAAUCCCUUUAUAAAUGUCCUUUUGUUAGUUUUUAGGAAGGACUGUUCUGGGAGUGUCUGUUAAUCCACUUCUUAGAGCUAGAUGUAGUCCUAUACUUAGUCGUUAAUAUGGUGGAGGGAGCAGAGGAGGGGUGAAGGGAAGGGCUUUUUGCUAGUAUCUCCACAUCUAGAAGACAGUUUUAGGUUAUAACCAUAGGUUUAUAUGUAUGUUUUUAUGAAGUACCUGUGUUUGUUGUGGAGAAGUUUCGUUAUUUUGCAACAUCUAAGCUUUUUGGAUGUCCUGAGGUGACAAUGUAUGAUAAAAUGUACAGCUAGUGAAUUAACCAAUUUAUAAGUUUCUCUUUGUUAUCAUUGAUAGGAAAGAAGCAUCUUGGACAUGAGAUUGUUAAGCUGUCUCUGAGAAAUGUCAGAACUUACUAGGUUGGCAGCAGAGGGGCAGAAGGAAGUAUAGAGGGAGAAUUGUAUGCGGAUGUUUUCAUAUUUACAUUUUAAUGAUAACGUGUAUUAGUCUCUUUGGCUGUACUAUAGGAAUACAUUAAGUGAUUCAAUGGAAACAUACCUCUUUGCUAAUUGAAUAUUAUAGAUUGGAUGAUGAAUUCUUUUAGAAGCAUUAUAUGUUGUGUACUCUGUUACUUUAUGUCUCAGUUUUAAUUGAACAUUAAGGGAAUGCAGUAUUUUAAUUGUAACUCUGUCAAUAUCUUUAUCCAGAGUUCCUGUUGCCAUUUUUGUCGCCAAGAAAGGCAGGAUUACAUUUUUUUUUUUUUUUUUUCAGAUGGAGUUGGUGUAUUCUUGGUUAUCAAAAUACUCAUAGUUUGGGGACUUUGACAUGAUAAAUAUUCAUGGUGUGUAAAAGCAUGAUACAUAACUGUACAAUCUUACUUAAAAUGCUUACUUGUGUAGAUAGAUACACACACGGGACCUAGAAGUCAAACUGCAAACUGCUUGUGAUUAUGGAUGACUUUGUUCUUUGCUUCUUGUGUUUUUCAGUUUCCUUUUAUGCACAUAUUAACUUUUAAAAAAUAAAUUUUUAAAAAAACCUAAAAAAAAAAAAAAAAAAAAAAAAAAAAAAA
rnacentral:lncRNA from 1 species